CUUUCUUUACUUCCUGUAUCUCUGAACAUCUCAUAUAUUGGGCAUACAUCUUAACUCAUGUAAUUUCCUCCCUUUUUGCUAACAGGUGGUGUACACAAUCCCUGCAGUACUGACCCUGCUUGUUGGACUUAACCCUGAAGUCACAGGUAAUGUUAUUUGGAAAAGUAUCUCUGCAAUACACAUACUCUUUUGUACGGUGUGGGCUGUUGGCUUGGCGUCCUACCUCUUGCAUCGUACACAACAGAACAUCUUACAUGAGGAAGAAGGCAGGGAGCUGUCUGGUCUGGUGAUUAUUACAGCAUGGAUUAUCCUGUGCCACAGUUCCUCAAAAUGGAGUCUUGCUCUGUCCCCCAGGCUGGAGUGCAAUGGCGCGAUCUCAGUUCACUACAAUCUCCACCUCCUGGGUUCAAGUGAUUCUCCUGCCUUAGCCUCCCAAGUAGCUGGAACUACAGGCACCUGCCACCAUGCCCAGAUGUGAUUAACCCACCCUGAGAUGGGGGUUACCUGGAUUAUCUGGUUGGGCCCUGAAUGUUACCACAAGUGUCCUUGCAAGACGAAGGCUGAAGUAGAUCUGACUACAGACAGCAGAGAAUAUGAUACGACAGUAAAGAAAGAUUUGAAGAUGCUACACUGCUGGCUUUGAAGACAGAAGAAGGGGCCAUGAGCCACAGAAUGCAAGAAGUACAGCUCUGGAGGCUGGAAAAGGAUUCGUCCUAGACCCUCCUCAGGGAGCAUGGCCAUGCCAACACCUUGGUUUCAGCCAAGUGGAAAUGAUUUCAGACUUCUGACCUCCAGAACUGCAAGAGAACAAGUAUAUGUUGGUUUAAGUCGCCAGGUUUGUGGGAAUUUGUUACAGCAGCCAUAGAAAGCUAACACUCCUUUAUAUCCCUAUAGUGCCCAUGUAUUCAACAGGCAUGCUUAUUUCUUAUAGUUGUUUAGGCCCUGAAUCAAACUUUCUCCACACCUGAAUAGUCCCCAUUUGCCAUCUAAUGUUUCUACACAUAAGCCUUAGCAUAUAUGAAAACGGUGUUAAACAUGUCCCAUUAGUGUAUAAAGGGAGUCAGUGUAAAUUUAUUUACCUGCUGUAGCUUCACACAGCAAUGGCUGGUGGCCCAAACAGACCAGGCCAGGUGGCACAUGGCUGCACUGCCACUUGGUCCUAUGAAUCCCAAGAGGACUACAUGACUUUUCUGGAGGCCCUUCUUACAGGGAUGGGAGUGCCACACGCUUACCCGUGAAAUAACUAUUGGUAAUUUUGUUUACAAAAUGGGAAUACAAGCCUAUAAAAAUCCAAGUAUAGGUGUUCUGAGCAGAAAUUGUCCAAAGCUCAUUUACACAGCAGGGUGAAUAGAAAAAGCUUACCUGAGCUUAUAUGCUGAACUUGAAGUUACAUAGUUAACACAUGUGAAUACAAUCUCCUUGUAAAAAGUUAAAAAAAAUCAGGUAGGGCCAAAUAAGAUCCCUCAUGAGGACUAUAUGCCCCUUAUGAGGACUAUACACCCCUGCCUCAGUUUCCUCCCUGGUUUGUUUCUAACUUACAAUGGAUACAUGAUCCAAAAUAACAUUUCUGAGUAUUUUAUCAACCAUCACACACUGAAACUAUAAAUACAUUUUGUUAUGC
rnacentral:lncRNA from 10 species